CAACGCGAAGAACCUUACCUACUCUUGACAUCCACAGAAUUCGCUAGAGAUAGCUUAGUGCCUUCGGGAACUGUGAGACAGGUGCUGCAUGGCUGUCGUCAGCUCGUGUUGUGAAAUGUUGGGUUAAGUCCCGCAACGAGCGCAACCCUUAUCCUUUGUUGCCAGCACGUCAUGGUGGGAACUCAAAGGAGACUGCCGGUGAUAAACCGGAGGAAGGUGGGGAUGACGUCAAGUCAUCAUGGCCCUUACGAGUAGGGCUACACACGUGCUACAAUGGCAUAUACAAAGAGAAGCGAACUCGCGAGAGCAAGCGGACCUCAUAAAGUAUGUCGUAGUCCGGAUCGGAGUCUGCAACUCGACUCCGUGAAGUCGGAAUCGCUAGUAAUCGUAGAUCAGAAUGCUACGGUGAAUACGUUCCCGGGCCUUGUACACACCGCCCGUCACACCAUGGGAGUGGGUUGCAAAAGAAGUAGGUAGCUUAACCUUCGGGAGGGCGCUUACCACUUUGUGAUUCAUGACUGGGGUGAAGUCGUAAC
rnacentral:rRNA from 1 species